rnacentral:rRNA from 1 species
UUGAUCAUGGCUCAGAACGUACGCUGGCGGCACGCCUAACACAUGCAAGUCGAACGAAGUAGCAAUACUUAGUGGCAGACGGGUGAGUAACAUGUAGGUAUCUGCCCUUUGGCCUGGAAUAACACGAGGAAACUUGUGCUAAUACCGGAUAAGUCUUUACGGAGAAAGCUUUAUGCACCAUUGGAUGAGCCUGCACUUGAUUAGUUUGUUGGUGGGGUAAUGGCCUACCAAGACUGUGAUCAAUAGCUGAUUUGAGAGGAUGAUCAGCCACAUUGGGACUGAGACACGGCCCAAACUCCUACGGGAGGCAGCAGUGGGGAAUCUUGCACAAUGGAGGAAACUCUGAUGCAGCGAUGCCGCGUGAGUGAAGAAGGCCCUUGGGUUGUAAAGCUCUUUCGUCGGGGAAGAAAAUGACUGUACCCGAAUAAGAAGGUCCGGCUAACUUCGUGCCAGCAGCCGCGGUAAUACGAAGGGACCUAGCGUAGUUCGGAAUUACUGGGCUUAAAGAGUUCGUAGGUGGUUGAAAAAGUUAGUGGUGAAAUCCCAGAGCUUAACUCUGGAACUGCCAUUAAAACUUUUCAGCUAGAGUAUGAUAGAGGAAAGCAGAAUUUCUAGUGUAGAGGUGAAAUUCGUAGAUAUUAGAAAGAAUACCAAUUGCGAAAGGCAGCUUUCUGGAUCAUUACUGACACUGAGGAACGAAAGCAUGGGUAGCGAAGAGGAUUAGAUACCCUCGUAGUCCAUGCCGUAAACGAUGUG